CACCGCGGUUAUACGAGAGGCUCAAGUUGACAGACAACGGCGUAAAGCGUGGUUAAGGAAAAUAUUCAACUAAAGCGGAACGCCCUCACAGCUGUUAUACGCUUCUGAGGGUAUGAACCCCAACUACGAAGGUGGCUUUACAUUACCUGAACCCACGAAAGCUAAGAAA
rnacentral:rRNA from 1 species